rnacentral:rRNA from 1 species
GGAGUAGGCGGCUCGAUAAGUCGGGUGUAAAAUCUCCUGGCUCAACUAGGAGGGAUCAUUCGAUACUGUCGGGCUUGAGUGCAGCAGAGGAAGAUGGAAUUCCCGGUGUAGUGGUGAAAUGCGUAGAUAUCGGGAGGAACACCAGUGGCGCAAGCGGUCUUCUAGGCUGUUACUGACGCUGAGCACCGAAAGCGUGGGGAGCAAACAGGAUUAGAUACCCUGGUAGUCCACGCAGUAAACGAUGGAUACUAGGUAUGGGGAGUAUCGACCCUCUCUGUGCCGAAGCUAACGCUUUAAGUAUCCCGCCUGGGGACUACGGUCGCAAGACUAAA